AUGAGGAGUUCCUCCAUUGACUUUACCUACGCUCCUUCUGCUCAUUUGUUCAGGAAGAAAUAUACUGUUCUAGGCCUGGGUGAUGCUCCCAUGAAAGAGAAGACACAAGAAGUCUGGCCCUGUGUUCUGGAGAGGAUGAAUGAACUGCUGUGUGUAAAAUGCUUAGACUGUAGGAGCAAUGGGAGUGUUAGCUACUUCUGUUGUAUCAUUGCUGCUGUUAAUGCUUGAGCUGCUACCACUACUACUGCGAUCACAACUCGGAGC
rnacentral:lncRNA from 1 species